CUCUACUAAAAAUACAAAAAAUUAGCCGGGCAUGGUGACGGGUGCCUGUAGUCCCAGCUACUUGGGAGGCUGAAGCGCGAGAAUUGCUUGCACCGGGAGGCGGACAUUUCAGUUAGCAGAGAUCACGCAACUGCGUUCCACCCAGCCUGGGCAAAAGAGUGAGACUCCGUCUCAAAAAAAGAAAAACAAAAUAAAUAAAAAU